AAGAUGGACCAGCUCACAAUGUCCAAUUUAUUGUGUCACUAAAUAUUGGGUCAAUGCCAGCACUGGCUCAGUGCUUCCCCACACUUUAUAGCGUCUCAUUCAAUUUGUGUACAACUUCUGCAGGACUCAGUCCACAAAGGAUCUCUUUCAAGUGCACUCUUACAAUCUUUGCCGCUUUUCAAAAUAAUGUGCAAUACGAUAUUACUCCUGUUCCAAUCGUGACGUUGCUGUGCAAAAUUGCGUUGUGAUCGAACUGCGCUUGCAAACUACAAGAAUGUGAAGUGACUUUAGGUGCCGAAAAUUAAAUUCUAAAUCUAUUUUGUGAUAAUUGUUGUGAUAUAAAUAAGUGUUGAUAAAUCAUGAGCUGCAUUAACAUAGAGGUGCAACCCGAGUGGGCCAAGUGCUGCUGUUGUAAAUUGUCUGUGUCAAAAUCAAGUGGAAGGCUGAAAUGGUGUGCUGAUGAAGAUGGGAAUUGGAAUAGAUGUAUCAAAGUAAUGCUCCUGGUUACUGUGAUACUUUUACCAGUAGCCGUGCUAGCCCUCGGAAGAGUGCGUUUUCCUCUAAAUAACCAAACAAACAAUGGAGAAGGCAUUGAAGAAACAUUCUUCAGAAAAUCAGUACCUUUUGAUAUUGAUAUGUCGGAGAAUCCUCAUCAGCAGCAUUUCCUGAACGAUUUGCAUACAACUGGCUGCCUCCCUACCGCAAAAAGUUUUUAUUCACCGAGGACAAAAAGGCGGCUACUGCUUGGAAACGGUAAGUUACCAGAAGAUGAAACAGAUGAAAAUGAUGAUGAGAAAAAAGAAAAAGCGGAAGAUUAUUUUUUUGAAACUGACGAAGUCCUUGAUUCAAAAAAUGAUAAAAAUCCUAUGUUUGACUUACUCUACGAUGAAACCUUUGAUCAUAGUGGUGACAAUGGUCAAGUCUCCCAUCAGAUCGACAAAGAAUGGAACACUAAUGAAGAUAAUCCAGAGAGUAUUGGCAACAGUUUCAAUUCACAAAUUGGCUCCACUGCCCAUAUGAACCAAUGCUUUUGGAAAAGUAAUGGUGACAAAAAGAGUAUCCGAGAAGCUCAAGCUAAGCUGAUGAAGCAGUACAUGGAUACGACAAGUGACCCUUGUCAGGACUUUUAUCAAUAUGCGUGUGGCAAUUGGGCGAAAGUGAAUCCUUUGCCGAAGGAUAAAACAACAUUUGACACGUUCGAAAUUCUGAGAGAAUCUCUUGAUUCGAUACUCAGAGACCUUCUGCAAAAAGAUGCUGCGGCCAAAGACAUUCAAGCUCACAUAAAAGCCAAGAACUUGUACAGAUCGUGUAUGGAUUAUGGAGUGCUUGAGAGGAGAGGCACCAAACCACUGCUGGAUCUUUUGAACAGUCUUGGAUCAUGGCCUAUUCUGACUCCUGAUUGGAAUUCGUCGAAAUUCGACUUUAUUGAUUUGCUGGCAAAUCUCCGUCUGUAUAACAAUGAGAUACUUAUAGCUGAAUGGGUUGGACCAGAUAUUAAAAAUUCAUCAGUGAAUAUUAUUCAGUUCGACCAAGCCAGCCUCGGCCUACCGUCUCAAGAAUAUUUCCUUCUACCAGCCAACAAAAGAUAUCUUGAAGCAUAUAAAGACUACAUUCUUAAAAUAGCAAUUUUACUAGGUGCUGAUUCAGAUGUAGCACUGAAACAUUCAGAGGAGAUAGUCAAUUUCGAAACUGCUGUUGCUAAGAUAACGAAAAACUCAGAUGAGAGACGCAACGUUUCCGUAUUCUAUCAGAAGAUGACGGUAGGAGAGUUGGGGUCUAUUGUGCCACAAAUAGACUGGCAACGAUAUUUAUCGAUCAUCUUGGACAUACCUUGCAAUUAUAAUGAACCAGUUAUCAUGCUUGCGCUCCAGUAUGUGAAAAAUCUUGUGAUACUGCUUGAGAAAACACCACCCAGAGUAAUAUCGAACUACAUGCUGUGGAGAUUUGUUAGACAUAGCGUGAGUAAUUUGGAUGACCGGUUCAAGGAAGCCAGCCAGCACUUCUACUUCACUCUGGUCGGCCGAGAGCAGGCUCCUCCGCGCUGGAAGUACUGCGUCUCCCAAGUCAACAGCAACAUGGGCAUGGCUGUCGGAUCUAUGUUUGUCAGCCACUACUUUGAUGAAAACAGCAAAAACGAUACAUUCCUGAUGGCGAAAGAGAUCCAUCAGUCAUUUCAAGAAAUCUUGCAUACUGCAACUUGGAUCACAAAUGAGACAAAACAUGUAGCUUCAGAGAAGGCUGGAAAUAUGAUGCUGAAAGUUGGCUAUCCUGAUUUCAUACUUUCACAAAACAAGUUGAACAAAAAAUACAAGGAUGUGAAGGUCUGUGCCAGCCUUUACUUUGAAAACUGUUUGAACCUGAUGCGACACCAUGCCAGAAUGGAGCAUGCCAAACUGCAUCUGCCACUCAACAAAACAGUGUGGGACACCCCACCUGCUGUCGUCAAUGCCUAUUACAGUAGAAACAAGAAUCAAAUCAUUUUCCCAGCGGGAAUAUUACAACCUCCGUUCUACCACCGAUAUUUUCCGCGAAGCCUGAACUAUGGUGGAAUCGGGGCUGUGAUUGGCCAUGAGAUAACUCACGGUUUCGAUGACAAGGGUCGACUGUUCGAUAAGUUUGGCAAUUUGCACAAGUGGUGGUCGGACGAGGAUAUCUUCAACUUCCAUCAGAAAGCUCAGUGCAUCAUUGUACAGCGAAUAUAUCAUACCAGAAAUCGGCGUAAGAUUAGAUGGAGCCCUUACACAAGGAGAAAAUAUAGCUGAUAAUGGAGGAAUAAAGCAGGCAUAUAAAGCUUACCAAAGGUGGCUUUCUAGUCACAGUGGGGUGGACGAAACGUUACCGGGCUUAAAUGCUUCUGGUGAGCAACUUUUUUAUUUGAAUUUUGCUCAAAUUUGGUGCGGCAAUACGAGGCCUGAAGCUUCGAGGAAUGGAAUUAAAACAGCCGUACACUCUCCAGGCAGAUUCAGGGUGAUUGGAACAUUAUCCAACAGUGAAGACUUUGCAAGAGUGUUUCAAUGCCCUCGUGGAUCGAGGAUGAAUCCUGAAUCAAAAUGCUCGGUUUGGUGACAU
rnacentral:misc_RNA from 1 species